rnacentral:rRNA from 1 species
CUUAGCAGAGAUGCUUUGGUGCCUUCGGGAACUCUGAGACAGGUGCUGCAUGGCUGUCGUCAGCUCGUGUUGUGAAAUGUUGGGUUAAGUCCCGCAACGAGCGCAACCCUUAUCCUUUGUUGCCAGCGGCUCGGCCGGGAACUCAAAGGAGACUGCCGGUGAUAAACCGGAGGAAGGUGGGGAUGCCGUCAAGUCAUCAUGGCCCUUACGGCCAGGGCUACACACGUGCUACAAUGGCGCAUACAAAGAGAAGCGACCUCGCGAGAGCAAGCGGACCUCACAAAGUGCGUCGUAGUCCGGAUUGGAGUCUGCAACUCGACUCCAUGAAGUCGGAAUCGCUAGUAAUCGUAGAUCAGAAUGCUACGGUGAAUACGUUCCCGGGCCUUGUACACACCGCCCGUCACACCAUGGGAGUGGGUUGCAAAAGAAGUAGGUAGCUUAACCUUCGGGAGGGCGCUUACCACUUUGUGAUUCAUGACUGGGGUGAAGUCGUAACAAGGUAGGCGUAGCGAG